rnacentral:lncRNA from 1 species
CUGCGGGUGGCCUGUCCUCCACGGGGCCAGACCCACGGGGUGGAGGCACUCGCGAAGGAAGGAGAACCCCAAAGCUGUUCCGCUCCCUUUUUUCUCCCUGGGCUAACGAGGGCAGCCAAAGGAAUCGCCCAGCACCUCGUUAGGUGGUUAAUUGCAGAGGUGGGGCCUCAGCAAAGCGUCUGCAACUGGGGAUGGAGAGGACUCACCCAAGCCUGGGCAGGGAAGGGGGUUUCCUCUGGGGUCUCCUCCUCAGAGCAUCCCCAGGGACAAAGGGGUGGCCACCUCGGGCUUGGGAAGCCCCUCUCCCUCCACUCCCCGGGGGUUGCCACCUUUUCCCCACUCCAUUGGUGAAGCCACCUCGUUGAGCAAGAGGGGACCGAUGAGAUUUCCAUGAACAAACUUCCUGCAGGGAGCAAAGGGCGGCCAGGACCACGUCCCUGCCCGAUCACCACCACCUCCUGGGGACGUACGCACAGAGAAGGGACCGCUAACUGGUGGCCACGGGGAGGAGGAGGAGGGCAAGCCCAGGCUGAAGGAGGCGAUGGCGGCCACCACGGUGACCGAUUCUGGGGGUGUGAGGAUCAUCACGGAGGUCAUCCCGCCCACAGACCCCCGAGCAGCCCAGCUGGCUUCUGGUUCCAAGCCACCCGCCUCCACCAUGUUGUCGUUUCAAGUCCAAGGCUUCAGAAAAGCUCAUCCCAAGGCGCUGGGGACCAUCCAUAUCUUCACUGGGAUCGUCCACAUCUGCUUCGGGAUCAUCCUGACGUUGUCAGAGAGAGGGACCUAUUCCAUCCCUGUGGCCAGCGGGGUCCUCUUCUGGCUCGGGCUCCUGCUCCUGCUCUCGGGCUCUCUGCUGGUGGAAAGUGAGAAAAGAGACAACAUCUUGCUGGUGAAGACCUGCUGCGUCAUCAACGUGGGUGUCAUCCUCAGCACGCUGGUGGCCACCCUCCUCCACACCACGGCCAUCACCCGCGACAUCCCCGGCUGCGAGCACAACACGCAGUACCAGCUGAGACCCGACUGGUGCUCGGACAUCGAGAACAAGAUGCUGAGCAACUGGCUGGACUCCAUGUUGGUCAUCUUCUGCCUCCUGGAGUUCUGCACGGCGGUGGCAGCCCUGGCCUUCGGCUACAACGCCGUCAAGCAGCACAACUACACACGGAUGGCGCUGUAG